CGGCCAUCCACCAGCUGCUGACCAACGGGGGCCUGGCCAAGCUGGCCAGCAGCCUCCCGGGGCUGGCACACAUCUCCAACCAGGCUGCAGGCCUGAAGGCCCCGACCACCAUCACUGUGACACUGCGGGGACAGCCUGGCCGCAUGGGCAGCCUGAGCCAGGCAGGGCUGGGGACAGCACAGCCCCAGCUGGAGGAGCAGCCUCAGGGCCCUCAGUGACCACCCUGGAGCCCCUGUGGUGUGGGAUUGGUGAGGCUGUGCCUGCCCCUGGAGCCUCCUGUGCCAGCCUGGGCACCCCAAGGUGGCGCCUG
rnacentral:lncRNA from 1 species